rnacentral:misc_RNA from 1 species
GAUGAAGAACGCAGCGAAAUGCGAUAAGUAAUGUGAAUUGCAGAGUUUUGUGAAUCAUCGAAUCUUUGAACGCACAUUGCGCCCCUCGGUAUUCCGACGGGCAUGCCUGUUCGAGCGUCAUUUCAACCCUCAGGCCCCCAGUGCCUGGCGUUGGGGAUCGGCGCGGCGCCCUCCGGGGCGCUGCCGGCCCCGAAAUUCAGUGGCGGUCUCGCUGUAGCCCUCCUCCGCGUAGUAGCACAACCUCGCGGCCUGGAGCUCGGCGGUGGCCAUGCCGUAAAACACCCCACUUCUGAAAGUUGACCUCGGAUCAGGUAGGAAUACCCGCUGAACUUAAGCAUAUCAAUAAGCGGAGGA